UACGGAGGGGGCUAGCGUUGUUCGGAAUUACUGGGCGUAAAGCGCGUGUAGGCGGGUCUUUAAGUCAGGGGUGAAAUGCCAAGGCUCAACCUUGGAACUGCCUUUGAUACUGGAGAUCUUGAGUCCGGGAGAGGUGAGUGGAAUUGCGAGUGUAGAGGUGAAAUUCGUAGAUAUUCGCAAGAACACCAGUGGCGAAGGCGGCUCACUGGCCCGGAACUGACGCUGAGGCGCGAAAGCGUGGGGAGCAAACAGG
rnacentral:rRNA from 1 species